UACAGAGGUCCCAAGCGUUGUUCGGAUUCACUGGGCGUAAAGGGUGCGUAGGUGGUGAGGUAAGUCGGAUGUGAAAUCUCCGAGCUCAACUCGGAAACUGCAUUGGAAACUACCUUGCUCGAGGGUUGGAGGGGGGACUGGAAUACUUGGUGUAGCAGUGAAAUGCGUAGAUAUCAAGUGGAACACCAGUGGCGAAGGCGAGUCCCGGGACAACUCCUGACACUGAGGCACGAAAGCUAGGGGAGCAAACAGG
rnacentral:rRNA from 1 species